rnacentral:rRNA from 1 species
GCCGCGAGGUAGAGCAAAUCUCAAAAAAACAAUCUCAGUUCAGACUGCAGGCUGCAACUCGCCUGCACGAAGUCGGAAUUGCUAGUAAUCGUAGGUCAGCAUACUACGGUGAAUACGUUCCCGGGCCUUGUACACACCGCCCGUCAAACCAUGAGAGUUGGCAACACCCGAAGUCGGUAGUCUAACCGCAAGGAGGACGCCGCCGAAGGUGGGGUUGAUGAUUAGGGUUAAGUCGUAACAAGGUACC